rnacentral:rRNA from 2 species
UUGAAAGGGAAACGAUUGAAGUCAGUCGUGCCAGCGAGAAAUCAGCUUACAGGCUACUGUGGGUGCACUUUUUCGCCAGGCAGGUUAACAUCGAUUUUUGUUGGGUCAUAAUGAUUGUAGGAAGGUGGCUCCUUCGGGAGUGUUAUAGCCUACUUUAGAUGGCGUGAUAGAGAUCGAGGAUUGCAGCGAAUGCCUUUAGGCUACGGGUCUGUUCUCUGUCGAUUGUCAAUUGGACNNNNNCAAGCUGAGNNNNNNUNNNACGAUUUACAAUAGGAUGGAAUCCGAUAGAUUCGUUAAGGAUGUUGACGUA